GAGUAGGUAGCUCAGUUGGAAGAGCGUCAGAUUGUGGUUCUGAAUGUCGUGGGUUCGAGCCUCACCUUAUUCC
rnacentral:tRNA from 1 species